rnacentral:rRNA from 1 species
GAUGAACGCUGGCGGUAUGCUUAACACAUGCAAGUCGAACGGACUCUUCGGAGUUAGUGGCGGACGGGUGAGUAACGCGUGAGAAUCUGGCUUUGGGUUCGGGACAACCACUGGAAACGGUGGCUAAUACCGGAUGUGCCGAGAGGUAAAAGAGAAAUUGCCUGAAGAUGAGCUCGCGUCUGAUUAGCUAGUUGGUGAGGUAAAGGCUCACCAAGGCAGCGAUCAGUAGCUAGUCUGAGAGGAUGACCAGCCACACUGGGACUGAGACACGGCCCAGACUCCUACGGGAGGCAGCAGUGGGGAAUUUUCCGCAAUGGGCGAAAGCCUGACGGAGCAAUACCGCGUGAGGGAAGAAGGCUCUUGGGUUGUAAACCUCUUUUCUUAGGGAAGAACAAAAUGACGGUACCUAAGGAAUCAGCAUCGGCUAACUCCGUG